AUACGGAAGGCAGCAGUCGAGAAUUUUUCACAAUGGGCGAAAGCCUGAUGGAGCGACGCCGCGUGGGGGAUGAAUGGCUUCGGCCCGUAAACCCCUGUCAUUUGCGAACAAACCUUUCCAUUUAAUACUUGGAAAGCUGAUUGUAGCGAAAGAGGAAGGGACGGCUAACUCUGUGCCAGCAGCCGCGGUAAUACAGAGGUCCCAAGCGUUGUUCGGAUUCACUGGGCGUAAAGGGUGCGUAGGUGGUGAGGUAAGUCGGAUGUGAAAUCUCCAAGCUCAACUUGGAAACUGCAUUGGAAACUGCCUUGCUAGAGGAUUUGAGGGGGGAUUGGAAUACUUGGUGUAGCAGUGAAAUGCGUAGAUAUCAAGUGGAACACCAGUGGCGAAGGCGAAUCCCUGGAAAAUACCUGACACUGAGGCACGAAAGCUAGGGGAGCAAACAGGAUUAGAUACCCUUGUAGUCA
rnacentral:rRNA from 1 species